rnacentral:lncRNA from 1 species
AUUGUAUAUAUAUUUUUUAUAGAGUAAAGAGACGUGGAGCUUUAAAGAUUUUUAAACAACUAUGUGAUGUAGAAUAUUUAUUGGUGUUGUCACUGUUGUGUGUCACAUUUAUUAAUGUAUAGUUGUGUGCUUGUAUUGUUUGUUAUAGAAUUAGUCCUACAUUAAGCCAAACAAAACUAUUCGCUUCUCGGGUGCUUCCUCAAAAUGUUCAAAUUAAAUGUGACUGUGUUUCUCAUUGAAUAGUGUUGUGUCAGACGGUUUAUAUACACUGUGCUUUUCAGAUUUAUUUCACUAAAUAGGUGGAUCAUUGGUAUCGGGCGUGGAUCCAGCCGUUCUAAAAAGGGGGUUCCCAACCCAGAGUAAAGGGGGGUUCUAACUAUAUGCUCCCAUUCAAAUGCAUUGAUCGGCCAAAAAAAAGGGGGGUUCCAACCCCCAGAACCCUCUGGAUCCCCCACUGGGUAUAUUGUAUUUCCUCAGAUAGAAUUUUCUUAUACUUUGUCAAAAUAAAGAUUUUCCCAAGCUUUUUCGUUAACAUUUUAAAAAGAAUGGGUCAUCUUGGCAUUUUUCAAGCUACAAGUCCUGUAAAAUUGUUCAAAUUUGUAUAGAUUGUCCAUGAAAAAACACUUUUCUUGUGAAUAAAAAGUAAUCUAUGAGAUAGAGUUUUGAAAUAGAAUAUUAGAAGAUAGGUUUUAAAAUAUUUUUAAGAAAAUUAAAAUAAAAGAUGAGUCACCAAUAUUUUCUUGCUAUAAGUUAUAAGUAAAAUUUAAAAAAGAAAAUAUUAUUCCUUUCUAAAAUUUACUAUUUGAUCAAGUUAUCUGCCUUUGAAUAGCCAAGUCUACAAUUUGAUUCAAAUGAACACAAUAAUGCUAUAAAUAAAUUAAAUAAACAAUCUAACACAUAAUUGCCAAUUAUAUGUCUCAAAAUUUGCAAAUCUGAGCAAAGAACUAGACCAAUUGUGAACUGAUAAUUAUAAAACAAGAUGGCGUAAUACAGUUAAUCCAGAGGAGUCAGUUUCACAAAUUACGAUUAAGAUUGAUUGUAAGUUAUGAACAAUUCAGUAUACUUACGAUAAAUCUUAAUCAUAAGUUUUUUUGUGAAAUCGACUCCUGGUACCUUAAUUGAGAUUAAUUCGACUUAUACUGCAGAAACUUUAUGGUUGUGACUUUUAGCAUUUAACAAAGUUUAAAAUAUAUAGAUCUGUCUUUUUCUCCGAAUAAUACCUAGAGAGAAAAAGGAGUACUAUAAACUAUAAAAACAAGACUUUUUGAAUUGCAUACCCCCAAAGCUCUUAUUUUGAUGUGCAGCGUUGAUUUUUGAUAUUAAAUAACAUAAUUUUUCUCAUUUUAGUUAUAAAUAUUCCACUUAAUUUAUUUUGCCUAUGGGGCCAUGGCGCCAACCAUUGUAAGUAGGUCAUCUAUAGAGUUCACUAGCCUUCCAUCACUGAGGUUGUGAGGUGGUACCUGAGAAGCUUAACUUUUUUUCAUAUUUAGCCAAAUUAGAAUGAGUCAUCCGUCUUAUCUUUUGUAUAUUGCAAAGCUAGUUUAUUUCAGUGAAAGUUUGUUUCUUGCCAAAUUAUUCAUUUCUUACACUUUUGAUGGUUUGUGUUUUUAUUUCUAUUCAUGUGUACAUGUAUAUAUUUAGCAUUCAUCCAAAAACAGCUUUAUUUUUAGCAGAUGUAUCGUUACAUCAAUUUGAGUUAUUUUUUCUUUUUGUAAGUUUUAACAAUUUUGAUUUAUAAUUGAAAUUUUCCUUCCCUGAUAUAAUUAAUGUAAUCUUCAUGUUUUCUAAAACUUUAAUUUAUUAUUUCUAGUUAAAAACAGAAAGCUUUUUAUAUAUAAAAUGCAUAAUAAUAUAUUUGCACAGAUCUGGUUCAUUCAAAAGAGUUUCCAGGGGUAGGGGCUAGUGUAUGUGUAAAUUUAGUCGUACAUAUCAACAUAUGAUCAAUAGAAACAUGUUGCUAAACAUAUUUUCUAAUUGGAAUUCAGAUUUAUUGUGGUAUACAGCUUUUAAAAAUUUUCAUGGUUGUGUUAAAGUUUUUAUAGUGUUAGAAAUACUGUAAAUUCAGAAAUUAUUGUGGAAAAUGCACAUUAAUAAGAACUGGCAUUCCAAUAUCUGAUACAUUUAUCUAUGGGCAGAUUUUCCUGCAAUUGCAAUAAAUGAUUUUGCAUUUUUAUCCAUUCUUCACAAAUCGCAAUAAUUUUUGAAGUAGUUUGUUUUUGCGUAUUUUUCUGAAAUUUUCACAAUUGUUUUUGCUGUUUGCAUGCAUCAUUUUCAGAAAUUUUCACAGUUGAUAUUUUUGCUGUUUGAUUCCAUCAUUUCAGAAAUUGUCUGAAUAAAUCGCAUAUGUUUGUCCAUUAAUUAACAGAAGCAUUUAUAAAUGCAUGCAGCAAUUUCAGAAUACUAAUACUGCAUAGCAAAAUAACAUAUCAUAUGGUUCUGGUUAAUAACAAAUUGCUUUGUAUAUUUUUGACAGUAUGUCUGUAGUGAUAUUUGAGUUCAGAACUUGUCUCUGCAUGGUCCGUAUUUUACAAAUUAUUCUGUGUUUGAACAGGGUACAAAAUGUGAUUUACAGUUGGGCAUUUUUAAGUGUAUUUUAUCCAAGGGUUUUUCCACACACUGACUUUUCUGUAAAAUUCCUAGGUGCUUUUCACUGUGUUAUUAUAUUAAAUGUCAGAUUUUUUGCAUUUUAGUAAUAUUCUUGUGCUUUAUAAUGUAUGUAUUAUAUUAGAGAAAGAUUUUUUUUCCACAUCUGUAUUAUAAAAUCUUAUCUUGCCCAAUUAUAUAUCUUUUUUACAUUAUGUUUGCGAUCGUAUAUUUUAUGUUCAUGAAAAAUAUCUUCUAUGUCACAAAUGUAUAAAAUCAAGAUGUCUUUUUAAGGUUGUUUUGUGUUGUUUGAAUGCUGUCUCGUUGACAUUUAACCAUCAGAGAUGAUGUUAAUAAGAAUCCGUCUAAAAACUGGUAUUAAUUGGAACUGUAAAAUACUGAUUCAAGAACUUUUUGAGUAUUUUACUUCCCUGUCGAAUAGAACCUAUUUAGUUUUGGAUAUUAAUAGAAAUAUUUUUUGAGUUACUCAUCCACAAUCACCAGCAUUCCCAGUGAAAAUUCACCACGAAGAGUGAUUUUUAAUUGUAUCAGCUUGUGUUAAUUGUACUUGCCACAAUGUAGAAAAAACACACUUGCCCUUAAAUAUUUGAUAAUAAUUUUCAAAAAAGAGUUCUCGAAAUAAUUUUUUCUCUGGUGUUCCUUUACAAAAAUUCUAUUGAGAAAGCUUAUAGAAAGUGUGGCAUGUACACAGGAACAAAGAGCUUAGAUUAGAAAUAAAUUCUAACAACAAAAUUUAUAUUUGUGGCAGUAAUAAUACCAUAUUUAUAUGCAAAAUAGCAAAUAAUGGAAUUGUUGUUUUCCAGUAAACUAGAAAUAAAGAAACAUAUUGUAUCAAUUUCCGUGUGGAGAUGUCAGUUUCUUUUUAUAUAAUUUUGAAAUGUACAUUGUAUGUUGUUUUGAAAAUAUAUUUGAUCAUUAUUGACAUGUUUUAAACACCAAUAUUAACAUGUAUUGGAUGAUAUUAUAGUGCUUUUAGUAGUUAAUAA